GCUCCGGUGGCCUAGUAGUUAAAGCAAACGCCUCAGAUACGGGAGGUCGUGGGUUCGAUCCCCGGUCGAGUCA